AAUCAUCCAGAAAAAGCCCAACAGGGGCUCAUCGUCAUGCAGCUGAAACCCAGCACUGAGCCCCCUGUCCCACUGAGAGCACCUCCUCGAGCACAGCUGGGGGGGGCUUUUCCAGGCAUCCAGGGACGAGCUGGGGGCACCACCCACACAUCCCGUUGGGCUGUUGGCAUCCCGUCCUCAUCCUCUGCAUCCCACGCCCGGGCAGGAGGUGGACACGGGUGAGAGGAGAUGGGGUAACUCCAGGUUCCUCCUCGUGGGACCGGCCAUAGUGUUUCACGUUGGCAACCUGAAGGGAUGGAAACUGCUGCUUCCUGCUCAGAGAAAAUAGCAUCCUCAUUUCCUCUGAGGAUGAUGCAUGUACCUAAAACCCAGCAGGCUUUUAUGGACUUCGCAGGACCUGGACCAUCCUAGCAGGCAGAGCACAGUGAGCAGCUCUGGAAGAACAAGGACGGAUGCAUUGCAGGGCUCACGGGUCAGUCCUUGCACUUUAGGGAACCCAAAGCAUCUGAACUCACACAAGUGGCUUAAAAAAUCCUGUGAGAGACAUAGAGAUGUCCCCACAGCCCUUCUCCCCCCACCCAGAUGUAUCCUCGGGCUCUUAGGCUCCCCAUCCUCCUUCUGUU
ensembl:lncRNA